GUACAUCAUCAUUGAACAUGACCAACUCUAGAGUAUUCUGCUGUCGAGAAUGUCUCUGAUGGGAUAUAGGUAUAAGUGUCCCUUAGACCUGAGAUCACCUCAGUGACUUGCAAGCAACUCACUGUGCUUUGGUACUGGACUAACUGAAUUUUUAAUUUAGGGAUGGAAGGCUUCUGGACACAGUCAAGUACUUGCAAAAUUAGAGUGUGAUCGAGAUGGGAUUGACCACUCCAAGAGUUGGAGAAGAAUGAGUCGCUGUAUUUCAAUUUAGCAAAACCUUGGUCAGG
rnacentral:lncRNA from 1 species